AUCUCACAAAUUGGUUGCAGCACUGUGGGGGCUGCAGGGUGGCUUUGCCAGUAGGAAGGGCGGAAAUUCCUGAAGAUGUAUUCAUCCAUGCUGCAUCAGCUGCUUGGUGUUUUCAUGGCAUCUCUGCACAUGUGCUGGGUUGAUCUUAAGCAGAAAACCAGAAGCGGCAGUGGUCUCCAGUAGAGACCUAAGGACCCCAAGCUCUCUGUGACACAAACAGGAAGGCUACUGUGGUGCAUUGAAAACCUGCGCCAGUAGUGCAUACCAGUGCACUAUGCUGCUGUUUCAUCAAGGAGAAAGGAGGUGACCACCCCCAGAGGAACUUCAUGCUCUACAGUAUGCCUACGGAGAACACCUCAAGGCGCAUCCAAGCAACGUCCUGGAGGCACAGCGCCACCAGAAUCUCGUUCGCCAUUUGGGGGACCUGCUUAAAGUCCUUAAGAAAUGAUUCCAGUGUGAGGCUUUCAA